CUUCUCUAUCUCUCUCAAUCUCAAUCUCACGCCCGUCAAAACCCCUUUCUCAUUCCCUCGCUCUCCCCCUCCCUUUCUCAUUCCCUCACUCUUCGGGUUUGCAUGUGAUGAUUCCAAUAGAGAAGAUGCAGUGGCAGAGGUUCAAGGGGGUUCUAAUGGUGGACGCGGAAAGGAUUUUGGGGGCUGUCAGAUUUGGGCGAUGGCCUGACCUGAUGGGUUUGUGGGGACUACAAUGAGGGUGGAUUCGGCCUGAUUAGAUUGCAAUGGGCGACAUCUAUGGUCGAAGGUUGGAUGAGGACAGAGGUUUUCAGCGAUUGCGACUAAGGAGAGAUGGGUUUUCAGUUUUCAAUGAGGGGACGGUGGUGGGUUUCGAUGAGCGGAGAUGAUAGAUUUGAGCAGAUGUCGGAUUUGGUGAGUGAAGAUGAAGAACCGAGCUCGAGCAGUGCCAUUACUUCAGAAGGUGAUGUCAGUGGCUAUUAACAUGCUGCUAUAUCUAUAUAGUAUUUGGUCUAUCAAGUUCGUCCAUAGUUCCACAAGGCAUUUGUCCACCGUGGGUACAUGUCUUUCCUUCUUCUCUUAGUCUUUUGCCUGUGUGAUUCCUAGAGAUCAUGCUUUUGUUAGAUUCUUGCAAGCAGUUUUCAUUUA